rnacentral:rRNA from 1 species
UACGGAGGGGGGUUAGCGUUGUUCGGAAUGACUGGGCGUAAAGCGCGCGUAGGCGGAUCAGGAAGUUGGGGGGUGAAAAUCCCGGGGCUCAACCCCCGGAAUGGCCUUCAAAAACUCCUGGUCUUGAGUUCGAGAGAGGUGAGUGGAAUUCCGAGUGUAGAGGUGAAAUUCGUAGAUAUUCGGAGGAACACCAGUGGCGAAGGCGGCUCACUGGCUCGACACUGACGCUGAGGUGCGAAAGCGUGGGGAGCAAACAGGA